rnacentral:rRNA from 1 species
GGACCCGCACAAGUAGUGGAGCAUGUGGUUUAAUUCGAAGAUACGCGCAGAACCUUACCAACACUUGACAUGUUCGUCGCGACUCUAAGAGAUUAGAGUUUUCGGUUCGGCCGGACGAAACACAGGUGCUGCAUGGCUGUCGUCAGCUCGUGUCGUGAGAUGUUGGGUUAAGUCCCGCAACGAGCGCAACCCUCACUUUUAGUUGCCAUCAUUUAGUUGGGCACUCUGAAAGAACUGCCAGUGAUAAGCUGGAGGAAGGUGGGGAUGACGUCAAGUCCUCAUGGCCCUUACGUGUUGGGCUACACACGUGCUACAAUGGUAUCUACAACAGGAAGCAAGGCUGCGAAGUCAAGCAAAUCCUUAAAAGAUACCUCAGUUCGGAUUGCACUCUGCAACUCGAGUGCAUGAAGCUGGAAUUACUAGUAAUCG